rnacentral:rRNA from 1 species
CGCCCUUCAGAGGGGGACAACAGUUGGAAACGACUGCUAAUACCGCAUACGAUCCAACCUCGGCAUCGAGGAUGGAUGAAAGGUGGCCUCUAUUUAUAAGCUAUCACUGAAGGAGGGGAUUGCGUCUGAUUAGCUAGUUGGAGGGGUAACGGCCCACCAAGGCAAUGAUCAGUAGCCGGUCUGAGAGGAUGAACGGCCACAUUGGGACUGAGACACGGCCCAG